rnacentral:rRNA from 1 species
GGCGUUGGAUUAAGCGUAACUGUUCCUUCGGGAGCUUUUAUGACAAUUCAGUGUCGAAGUUAACACGUUAAACAGACCGCCUGGGUAGUACGGCCGCAAGGUUGAAACUCAAAGGAAUUGGCGGGGACCCGCACAAGCUGUGGAGCGCGUGGUUUAAUCCGACGGUAAUCGUAUAAUCUUACCAAGGUUUGACAUACUGUUGCAUUCCACUAGAAAUAGAGGAAGCUUUCGAAGGUGCAGUACAGGUGCUGCAUGGCCGUCGU